UGAGUUUGCUAUCUCCGAUUUGCUUUCACCUAAGAGUAUUCUUCCUGGAUUGUGCCUUCUGGAGCAGCGAGGGUCACAGAGGGGAAGUGCUGAAAUCAGAGAAUGAGAAGAGUCAAUGUAGGGGACUCAAGCUCUGUUUCCACAGCUGUACCCUCCUUCGGCCUCAACGAGGAACGAGCACUUUGGGAGUGAAUCGUGUUUAUCGCUGUUCUGUGAAACCUGACGUGACUGGCGGGGUUGUGAAAUCAUCCAGUUCCAAGCAGAACAGAAAAGCUGUCCAAGUUGUGCAAAUGUUAUUUAAAACACUAGCUGUCAUUUCUAAGGAAGUCCCUGCAGUCACAUCAAAGAAGCGGAAUAGUUUCAAAGAUGUUUUUUAUUACCAGUUACUACAAACAUGUGUUAUCCAAAUAGUGCAAAAAUAUGCAAUUUCCUGAAGAGGGGAGCUGUGAAAUCAUAUCCCCAGAAUAUUUAUACUUACUGUUGCUGAUGCAUUUAUUAGCAUUUCAAUAGCAUUUUUUGAAGGGAAGACUAGCCCACCAGGUUGUAUCAACAAUUAGUAGAUUCUUUUCCUGAGCUACUAACUUUUCUUAACCUGACUUAAUAAAGAAAAUUGCCUGAUGGCAUAUAUCUUUUUUCUCUUUUUAGGAUUGAAUAAAACUUAAAAUUUAUUAAUGCACUUAGAUAAUUUAUAAUCCUUUAAGCACAGAUCUGAGCUUAAAACUUUUCAUAUGUCAUAUACAAGGUCACUGUGUUUUCCCCACCAAAAUAUUUGGGUUAAAUAAAAAAAUUAGACAGCAC
rnacentral:lncRNA from 1 species